UGCAAUGAAUUGAAUGUUCUU
ensembl:piRNA 21ur-3999 ncRNA